rnacentral:lncRNA from 1 species
UUCUCAAAUCAUUGCUUUGUAUCUGCUAAUUAGUGUUGAUAGUGUGAUCACAUCGAAUGGACAAAUCAUUUUCUGCCUCAGUUUCCUUUUCUGAACUCGUGGUUCUGAAUGUUUCUAGCAUUUUUUAAUUCAUAAAAUUAUUUAUGAUUGCUUCUUCUCAGCAUGUGUUUGCUUUAGUCAAAGAAAGUCAUAUUUCAAUUCAUGCUUAUGCUGUUUUUCUUGUGUUCUUUCAUUGUUUCAUCUAACCUGGAAUAUGCUCCUUGUAACGAAUAAAUGUUGCUUAUUUAACGGUCUCAUCAUCCUUUCAGAUAUGCUUUCUAAAUACCUGGUAAGUGCAUCACAUUAAGUUGAACAUGUAAGAGAACCUCUUGGAAAUGAACCAUUGGAGAUAUUAGCUUUCCUGGAAUCCUUUGGUCAACUUGAAAUAAUAGCUGUUCGCUAUACUUGCAACGAUAUUAUUUUCUGAUGCACUCUAUUAAUAGUUCUUUUUAGUUGGCAAGAGGAAGAUAAAAAUGAAAACAUAAAUAUUUGUUCCUAAGUUCUGGAAAAUCUUCUUGGUGCAUAAAUUGAAAAUCAUGUAGCGGAACAAUACUUUAUGAACUUAAAUUAACACAGAAGACAUAUAGACCUUCUUAUAUCUUAUAUCUGAUGCAUCAAGUUGUUAGGUGCUCUUUGAAACAAAGAAAAAGUUUGUAAGUUGCAUGCUCUGAUGUAAGGAGCCAAUGACAUAAGAUAGAAAUGCCUUUAUGACCCGUUUGAUUGUCAAUAUUGUUUAUUUAUAUCUCACAGGAUCUAGCGAAUUCUAUUCAAAAGGGAAGCUUGGACUGGGAAAGAGCGUUGCGAUGCAUUAGACAUGGUCUUCGUACUACACCAUCUCCUGACUGGUGGAAGCGCGUGCUCCUUGUGGCUUCCUGCUACAGAAAUCCUGCUCAUGGGCCAACUCCUGGUGCUGUUUUUACUUCUAGUAUGAUCUGUGAGGGCACUAUCGAUCGCAUAGUUGAACUAUUAAAGUUGACGAACUCAGGCAAUUAUCUUUCUACUAUUUUGCUUAUUUCUAUUUUACUUCUACGAAAGUGUCUUUUGAUGUUAAUUGUAUGCAUAUGAUUGAUGAAACUCUUAAGAUAUGAAAGUAUUAAUGCUUGCUAGACUGUAUUUUGCUUAUAGCUCUCCAAUUCUGCAAGUUAAAUUUGACAAACUAUCAAUGUUGUAUGUGUUCGGUAACCUUUAUAUUUCUCAUUGCUCCUUUUAAGUUUCAAACAAAAUUUACUUCAUAUUUGUUCUUUAUGAGGGCGUUUUACAUGUUUGCAUUGGGAAACGCCUUUGAGUCCAUGCUGGAACAUAUGAUUUACUGCAAUGCAAGACGAUUUUAUUCUAGGGCUUUGUAAAUGUUUGUCUGAACAUGUCGUCGUCCUUAUACGUUAAUGUCUAUCUUAUACUGCAGAAAUAAACUGCUGGCAGGAAUGGCUUGUCUUCUCUGAUAUAUUCUUUUUUCUCAUCAAAAGUGGAUGCAUUGAUUUUGUGGAUUUUGUCGACAAGCUUGUCUCACGACUCACAGGCAGUGAUCAGAAGUUUCUUAGAACCAAU